rnacentral:rRNA from 1 species
AUUGAACGCUAGCGGCAUGCUUAACACAUGCAAGUCGAACGGUAACAGGCCUAGCUUGCUAGGUGCUGACGAGUGGCGGACGGGUGAGUAACGCGUAGGAAUCUACCUUGUAGAGGGGAAUAACUUGGGGAAACUCAAGCUAAUACCGCAUAAGCCCUAAGGGGGAAAGCAGGGGACCGAAAGGCCUUGUGCUAUGAGAUGAGCCUGCGUCAGAUUAGCUAGUUGGUGGGGUAAAGGCCUACCAAGGCGACGAUCUGUAGCUGGUCUGAGAGGACGACCAGCCACACUGGGACUGAGACACGGCCCAGACUCCUACGGGAGGCAGCAGUGGGGAAUAUUGGACAAUGGGCGCAAGCCUGAUCCAGCCACGCCGCGUGAGUGAUGAAGGCCUUCGGUCGU